AGAUUAUAUAUGAUGUUGCAAAUGUCUGAACUUAUGAAGAAAAUAAUGAUUUUGAUGUUUAACUGAGAUAAGCA
ensembl:snoRNA